rnacentral:misc_RNA from 1 species
AUAAAGCACAAACAACUAAACAUCAUUUUUCCUUUCAUAAAGUAUGCAGAAACCAGAACUAACAGCAAAUCCGCAAUUUCAUAAGAGGCAGAAACCGAAAUCAAGCUUCAUUAAAACAGAAAUUGAUAGCUACUGAAUCAAGGAACUGAGGAGUAACUGGGGAAUAAUGGCAAAAGGUGGCAAAUUGAGACUCGUGAAAGGCUUCUGGGGAGGAGGAACCUAGGAGCGGAAGACAGGUGUCAUGGCUACAUGUGGUGACAGGGACUCGGGUCACAGCCUCACAGGUGUGGAAGUGACUGAAAAUCUGGAAUGGAGUUGAGAGGGAGCUCAGAGAGGAGAUACGGGAUGCUAAGUGGCAAAGGCUGCAGUGAGCCAGUAAGGCAAGGUAUGAAACUUCUGAGUUUUGAGGACUGAGGU